UUAAUAGUCUCUUCGCCCGGAAUUAUUUGUCGCAGAAAUGGAUGUAUUGAGAUGUAUUUUAGUUCUAAAUACAUGUAUCUAUUUUUAUUCAUUUAUGUGAUAAGUAAUUCGGGGCGGAGGGAGUAAUUU
rnacentral:pre_miRNA from 1 species